rnacentral:lncRNA from 1 species
AUUCGAUCAAUAUCAAAACUCAGUGCUCAACAGCGGAGCCCAAAUCAACAUCCAUUUGGUCUUAUCAAGAGACAUGGACUUGAUCAACUACAACUAUUGCAAAGAUCAAGAGUUACCUUGAUCGAAUCCAAAGUAAACAUUUUAAAUUAGAUUUGACCAGUUAUUGUUCCAUAUUUUGAUUUUGACCAUUGGGUCUAACCCAGUCAGAUUUGAUUAGAUAACCCAUUAUCCCCAUGAUUUAUGCAAUGUCUUAGAUGUUUAAAUCACAUUUAAAAUCUAAGAUCUACAUCAAUACUUAAUUCACAAUUAAGUGUAUUGCAUUAUUCAUAUCUUAUCUUGGUUUUGCAUGCAUUACAACUUUGAAUCAUUAAAACCCCUUUUAAUGUUCAAGUUAAAUGGUUUCCACAUGUAUACAAACAUGUAUAUUCAUCGUAUGAAUAACAUCAUAAAAUAAUAUAAUCAGUUUACAUCAUAUGUAAAAGAUCACAUUUUGCAUAGAUAUUUGAUAUCACAAAGAACCUGGACGAGCUCUGAUACCACUGAUAGUCAUACAAACAU